AAAACAAUCAAAACGGACAACCGAGCAAAAAGUUAUGCUUGGUAAAAGUUUUGAAAAAUUACACUACUUUUCUCUGCGGUUUUUUCAAUAAAACCGCGGAGAAAAGGUUCCAGACCUAUAUAUAAACUCAUUCUUCCCCACAGGUUUUGUAAACCUACUUCAUUUCGCGAAAAAACUUCUUCAACAGCGGCGGUUUUUGGUAGUAAAAAUGGUUAAGAUUUAGUCGAAAAAUUGUCCAUUUUCACUGUAUUUUUGGGCAUGCAUUGUGUUCUUGAGCUUCAAAAUAGACUCAACAGAUCAUGGAAGAAUGGAAGUACUAGGGAGGGAGAUGCUUGGGCACUGCUCUUGUAACGCCCUGGUUACCCCAGAACAGUUACGGUGAACAGUGAACCGGAAAUUUGACUCGCUACCCGAGUCCUUUGGUUAAAAACGUGAUCUAGGUACUAUUAACAGGUUAAGGUGGAAAACCAAUAAAAAGGAAAGGGUACAUUUUAUUAAGUAAAUAAACUGCUCAUGAGCCUUUUAAAAUGUUUACAAGUAGUUUGUAUUACAAAAGAGUUGUUACAGUUCCAAAUAUACAAUCCCCGCCGGCCUAAGCGGCAAAAAUAGGGUAAACCCCUAGUCCCUCUGAGAACUCCUUGACCGUGGCAGUCAAGCGGCCCUGUAUGUACAUCACAUCGCCCAAGCUCUCCACUCAAGGCUGGCCAAGCUUUUCCUUCCCUUUACCUGCACCACAUAGCACCCAUGAGCCAAGGCCCAGCAAGAAAACAUAAUAAAACGUGAUCUAAUAUCAACAACGAUCGUAAUAACCAUUCAGGACUAUCAGUCCAACAAAUAGGUGACAAUAGCCAAAAGUCACAAUAAUGAGCAUCGCUCCCUCUAGCCAUGUGACGAUAGGGUCACCAGGGCUUAACUGAUAGAUGAUUCUUUCAUAAGUUCGUUCAGGACAGGUGCAUGGUGAUUGGUCACCAACAUAACCUUCCUCACGACUCUAGGGUCGAAACUAUGGACAACGUCCCUUAGCCACGUGACAAACAGUCACCGGGGUCAUACACCUUGGCUAUAAUCAUCUGGUCGUAGACCAGGCAAGCGCUUGUAAGUUCUUCGACCUUAGGGUCGGUCCCACAUUAAUGCCAUAUAGUCAUUCAAUGCGUGAUCAUCGACUUUAGAGUCGGUCCCUGACUAGUCAGUGUCUCAAACAGGUAACCAGCGUUCACUAGCAUUUAACAUGCAAUCCAUGUCCACAUAAAUCAACCAACAUGCCUCAAUAUCAAACCAUGCAUGUCAUAUACCUAUACAGGGUGCAACUGUAUUCAUACACUGUUUUCUUACUUCUGGUUCGAGUGAAUAAUAAUCCUUGACGGUCACCUGGUCAUAACCAAAUUAUAGAAUUUAUCAAUAAAAAUGAUAACUGAGGGUUCCCAAACCAAAACCCAGCCCCCGAGACAUCAAAUACUACCCAACCGGGUACUAGGUCCAAUCCCGAGGCCUAUGGCUUGAAUCCCCAAGCUAAAACCCACAUUUUAGCAAAAUUGGCCUUAAGGGCCGUGGCCCUCCCCUGCUGCGCCGCGGCGCGCCUCCAAACAGAGAGCCUCCCCAUCUCCCAGACGCCAAGGGCCGCAGCGCUCCCCUGCUGCACCGCGGCGCUCAGCCCAGAAUGGCUAAGUCGGCCACACGAACCAGUCUUUUUCCCUGAGCUCUUUCCUCUCAAACCAUCCCUUCAAACCCUCUCUAAACCUCUUCCAAACACACAAUUAAACCCCCAAAUAACACCCAUAGCUCACCCUCAUCAAACCCCAAUCAAAACAACAUAAAAACUCCCUUUAAUCCUCACUCCCCACAUCAAAAACAUGAAUUGAAAACUAUAAGCAAAACAGAGCACCAGCUGUAACUAAUGACCAAAACUCACCUUGAGACUAGCUUUAAAUCUCUCACACAGGCUAACACAAGUGCUCCAACCCAGCCUUAAGUUCCUCUAGCUUGAAUCACCACCAAGAACACAAAACCAUCAAAGAAAGGGUGAAGAAGAUGAAGCUAGGAGAAGGUACGGGAAUG